rnacentral:rRNA from 1 species
UUGACCUCAAAUCAGGUAGGACUACCCGCUGAACUUAAGCAUAUCAAUAAGCGGAGGAAAAGAAACUAACAAGGAUUCCCCUAGUAACUGCGAGUGAAGCGGGAAGAGCUCAAAUUUGAAAUCUGGCAGCUCUUUGAACUGUCCGAGUUGUAAUCUAGAGAAGUGUUACCUGUGUUGGACCGUGUUCAAGUCUCCUGGGAUGGAGCGUCAUAGAGGGUGAGAAUCCCGUCUUUGACACGGACUACCUGCACGUUAUGGUGCGCUCUCAAAGAGUCGAGUUGUUUGGGAAUGCAGCUCAAAAUGGGUGGUAAAUGCCAUCUAAAGCUAAAUAUUGGCGAGAGACCGAUAGCGAACAAGUACCGUGAGGGAAAGAUGAAAAGAACUUUGGAAAGAGAGUUAAACAGUACGUGAAAUUGCUGAAAGGGAAACGCUUGAAGUCAGUCGCGUCGGCUAGAAAUCAACCUUGCUUUUGCUUGGUGUACUUUCUUGUUGAUGGGUCAGCAUCAAUUUUGACCGUUGGAUAAAGUCUUUGGGAAUGUGGCAUCUUAGGAUGUGUUAUAGCCCAUUGUCGCAUAC